rnacentral:rRNA from 1 species
GACGAACGCUGGCGGCGUGCUUAACACAUGCAAGUCGAACGGAAACGCCCUGCUUUUUUGCGGUUCUCGAGUGGCGAACGCGUGAGUAACAGGUGAGUAACGUGCCCUACAUUUUGGGAUAACUUCAGGAAACUGGGGCUAAUACCGUAUAGCAUCUCCCGUUGCAUGGUGGGCGUUGGAAAUUUUCGGCGGUUGGGGAUGGACGGGCGGCUUAUCAGCUUGCUGGUGGGGUAGUGGCUUACCAAGGCUUUGACGGAUACCCGGCAUGAGAGGGUGACCGGACACAUUGGGACUGAGAUACGGCCCAGAGUGGUAUGUUGGGCAACGGUGGCGAAUAUUGCCCAGUGGGCGCAAGCAUGAUGAAGAAACGCACCGUGAGUAAUGACGGCCUUCGGGUUGUAAACCGCUUUAGCUUGUGACGACGCGUGAGUGACGGUACUGGGUGAAGAAGCACCGGCUAACUACGUG